AGAUAUACUCCACACAUCAUUCCUCCCAUUACCCCAUACUGGUAACAGUAAAGUUGGCAGAGUAAAGCUUAAACGGUAUUUCCUUUUUUCUCAAAAGGGCCUGCCAAAAAGAGACAUUGUGUCUUGCUGCAGUGAAUAUAUGCUCCACUCAACAUAGAUCACAGGUCCCACAACUGUCCCGAAUUCGUCAGUAAGAUCCCAAUUUUCGGAUCCUGUCCAACCAUCACAACUUAGUUCCAUGGUGUUCCUCUUUUGGGGACAUCAGGGAACUGACCCCAACAAACAUAGCGCAAGCAUGUUUCUAGG